rnacentral:tRNA from 1 species
GCCCCCGUAGCUCAGUUGGAUAGAGCACCAGAUUCCUAAUCUGGGGGUCGUGGGUUCGAGCCCCGCCGGGGGUACCA